CCUACGGGUGGCAGCAGUGGGGAAUAUUGCGCAAUGGGCGAAAGCCUGACGCAGCGACGCCGCGUGAGGGAUGAAGGUCUUCGGAUCGUAAACCUCUGUCAGCAGGGAAGAACGGUCACUGUGCUAAUCAGCAGUGAAUUGACGGUACCUUCAAAGGAAGCACCGGCUAACUCCGUGCCAGCAGCCGCGGUAAUACGGAGGGUGCGAGCGUUAAUCGGAAUUACUGGGCGUAAAGCGCUCGUAGGCGGGAUGUCAAGUCAAGGGUGAAAUCCCCGCGCUCAACGUGGGAACUGCCUUUGAAACUGGGAAACUGGAGUGUGUGAGAGGAUAGUGGAAUUCCAGGUGUAGGAGUGAAAUCCGUAGAUAUCUGGAGGAACAUCAGUGGCGAAGGCGACUAUCUGGAACAUAACUGACGCUGAGGAGUGAAAGCGUGGGUAGCAAACAGGAUUAGAUACCCGAGUAGUC
rnacentral:rRNA from 1 species